rnacentral:lncRNA from 1 species
UCUUGACUUAAUCAAGUUAUGUCCUAUUUUUGCCCGUAUUGAUCUUUAUGUCACUGAAAACCAAUGUGCAUAUUUGUCAGUGUCAGAGCACCCUCUGACCAACUCGACUCUGAUCUCUUGUUGUUAAAAUCCCACCCGGUGACCUGCUUGGGUUCCCCCAGCUAGGCGAGAGUUGAGUCCUUAGUAAUUUCAGGCGGGGCCCAGAGAUCAUGGAAGAGAUGCUGGUAGUGGUGAAUCAGCCCUAAUAAUGUUUUUAAGGAGGUGAAUAAUUCCCAUCGACUUAACUCAUCCCAGAGAUUUAGGUCCAGCAGAGCCGGGCCCACACAGUUAUUGAAUCAGACAUGAGAAGACGGAAUCGACAUGGCAAUCAGCAUUUAGACAGGCUACUACGUGCUGCCAUCAAUCACCUUCUCUUCCCAGAAAAGUACAGAUGUCUCCCUGGAUUUCUUACUAAUAACCAGAAAUACAGCUGUCCAGGCCCUGCAAAUAUUUUGUAUCACUUGAUAAAAAUAGCUAAUAGCAUUCUAUCUGUGACUCCUGGUUUAUCUCAUAAACUAAAUGGAUGGAAAAGGGAAAGG